CUUGGUGAUGUUUGUUUUGCUCUUACUUAUGUAAGAUGUUCAGGCACCUGUUCUCUUGAGGUACUAUAUGCUCUGCAGUUUUUGGGAUCUAAAGAUGUGGAAUUGCAGAUGCAAAGGACGGACUACAAGUUACACUUGGAUUUUCCACUGCUUAGAGGAUCAGCACCCCAACAAAAUUUUUUUCCCACACAGAUUAUUGCAGAAUGUUGAAUAG